rnacentral:rRNA from 1 species
AUUGAACGCUGGCGGCAGGCCUAACACAUGCAAGUCGAGCGGAGCGGCGGACGGGUGAGUGAUGCCUGGGAAUUUACCUGGUCGUGGGGGAUCACGUCCGGCAACGGACGCUAAUAACGCAUACUAGCAGAUGACCUUAGGUGGGAUUCGCUAGUGGGUGGGGUAAAGGCUUACCAAGGCGACGAUCCGUACCUGGUCUGAGAGGACGAUCAGUCACACUGGAACUGAGACACGGCCCAGACUCCUACGGGAGGCAGCAGUGGGGAAUAUUGGACAAUGGGCGAAAGCCUGACCCAGCCAUGCCGCGUGUGUGAAGAAGGUUUUCGGAUUGUAAAGCACUUUAAGUUGGGAGGCGUUACCAACACAAUAAGCACCGGCUAACUUCGUGCCAGCAGCCGCGGUAAUAC